rnacentral:rRNA from 1 species
CCCGAGUUAAACCGGCGCACGGGUGAGUAACACGUAGGUAACGUACCCUUGAGUCUGGGAUAACCAGUCGAAAGACUGGCUAAUACCAGAUACGACUGCGGGAGCUCCGGCUCCUGCAGUGAAAGAUGGCCUCUAUUUAUAAGCUAUCACUCAUGGUUCGGCCUGCGCACCAUUAGCUAGUUGGUGAGGUAAAGGCUCACCAAGGCUGAGAUGGUUAGCUGGUCUGAGAGGAUGGCCAGCCACACUGGGACUGAGACACGGCCCAGACUCCUACGGGAGGCAGCAGUGGGAAUAUUGCGCAAUGGGCGAAAGCCUGACGCAGCGACGCCGCGUGGGUGAUGAAGGCCUUCGGGUCGUAAAGCCCUGUCGGGAGGGAAGAAACAACCCGGACCUAAUACGUCCGGGAAUUGACGGUACCUCCUAAGGAAGCACCGGCUAACUCCGUGCCAGCAGCCGCGGUAA